GACGAACGCUGGCGGCGUGCUUAACACAUGCAAGUCGAACGGAAAGGCCCUGCUUUUGUGGGGUGCUCGAGUGGCGAACGGGUGAGUAACACGUGAGUAACCUGCCCUUGACUUUGGGAUAACUUCAGGAAACUGGGGCUAAUACCGGAUAGGAGCUCCUGCUGCAUGGUGGGGGUUGGAAAGUUUCGGCGGUUGGGGCUGGACUCGCGGCUUAUCAGCGUGUUGGUGGGGUAGUGGCUUACCAAGGCUUUGACGGGUAGCCGGCCUGAGAGGGUGACCGGCCACAUUGGGACUGAGAUACGGCCCAGACUCCUACGGGAGGCAGCAGUGGGGAAUAUUGCACAAUGGGCGGAAGCCUGAUGCAGCAACGCCGCGUGCGGGAUGACGGCCUUCGGGUUGUAAACCGCUUUCGCCUGUGACGAAGCGUGAGUGACGGUAAUGGGUAAAGAAGCACCGGCUAACUACGUG
rnacentral:rRNA from 1 species